ensembl:misc_RNA 7SK 7SK RNA
GGAUGUGAGGGCGAUCUGGCUGCGACAUCUGUCACCCCAUUGAUCGCCAGGGUUGAUUCGGCUGAUCUGGCUGGCUAGGCGGGUGUCCCCUUCCUCCCUCACCGCUCCAUGUGCGUCCCUCCCGAAGCUGCGCGCUCGGUCGAAGAGGACGACCUUCCCCGAAUAGAGGAGGACCGGUCUUCGGUCAAGGGUAUACGAGUAGCUGCGCUCCCCUGCUAGAACCUCCAAACAAGCUCUCAAGGUCCAUUUGUAGGAGAACGUAGGGUAGUCAAGCUUCCAAGACUCCAGACACAUCCAAAUGAGGCGCUGCAUGUGGCAGUCUGCCUUUCUUU